rnacentral:lncRNA from 1 species
AAAGCUUGCAUAGAUUGAAGAAAGAAAACUAACAGAUGUUGUAACGUAAUGAAUGAAUGCUGUCGAAAUUUGUUUGUGGAAAAUGACGGUUAUGUCCUUCGGUGGCUGAUUGCUUCAUCGUUAAGGAAAGAGGAGACGCGUGACGUGGAAUGGAAUUUAAGUCCGAUCCAAUAGAAAUGGGCUUAGUGCAGUCGACAUA